rnacentral:rRNA from 1 species
CUACGGGAGGCAGCAGUGAGGAAUAUUGCACAAUGGACGCAAGUCUGAUGCAGCAACGCCGCGUGGAGGAUGACGGCCCUUGGGUUGUAAACUCCUUUUUUCAGGGAAGAGAAUGGACGGUACCUGAAGAAUAAGUCACGGCUAACUACGUGCCAGCAGCCGCGGUAAUACGUAGGUGGCAAGCGUUAUCCGGAAUUACUGGGCGUAAAGCGCACGCAGGCGGUCUUUUAAGUUUGACGUGAAAGCUCCCGGCUUAACUGGGAGAGGUCGUUGAAUACUGGGAGACUUGAGGCAAUGAGAGGGGUGUAGAAUUCCUGGUGUAGUGGUGGAAUGCGUAGAUAUCAGGAGGAAUACCAGUGGCGAAAGCGGCACCCUAGCGUUGUACUGACGCUCAUGUGCGAAAGCGUGGGGAGCGAACGGGAUUAGAAACCCCUGUAGUCC